rnacentral:lncRNA from 1 species
GCGGCCCGUGCGAGUGCGCCCUUCUCGGGUCCCCUAGGUCGCGGGGCAGCCGGGGCGGAAGGGGCUUGUUCAUUAUUUUGAGAGUUUGUUGUGAACGUCAUAACCUUUCGUCCUUAAAUAUUGCCGAUACUUGACCUACGCAAGAGACAAUGUCAUGUGAUUCAGCCUAAUAUCUCAGAGGAUGCAGCAUUCAAGGUUCUAUCUUGGAAGCAGAGACUGUGCCCUCACCAGAUGCUGAACCUGCUGAGCACCCUGAUCUUCCACUUCACCUUCAUCAGAACUGUUUUCGUAUCAGGAUGAUGCUGGCCUCAUACAAUGAGUUAGGGACGCGCAUGAAAUUUGGUGCCGUGACUCGGAUCGGCGGACCUCCCUUAGGAGAUCAAUCCCCUGUCCUCCUGCUCUUUGCUCCAUGAGAAAGAUCCACCUACGACCUAAGGUCCUCAGACCAACCAGCCCAAGAAACAUCUCACCAAUUUCAAAUCCGAAAUCCUUCAUCUAAUCUGGCAAACACAUGUGGCAGGUUUUUCUCACCGCAUAAAAUAUGUUAUAGAGUAGUCCAUCUAUUUCUCUUCCAUGGAAGAGUUCAUCUGGUAGAUUGGACUACCACUUUUCCUUAGUAAGAUUGUUUCCUUGAGGCAAGAAAGAAAUGCAGAAGUCUUGACAAACAAAAGAAGAGAUUGCCUUAGGGAAGGGGACUACAGUGAACACUGAGAACUUCUUCCCACGCUAAGACAAUCUUUACAGAGCAAGACUCCGUCUCAAAAAAAAAAAAAAAAGUAAGCAUAAGAA